rnacentral:misc_RNA from 1 species
GAUGAAGAACGCAGCGAAAUGCGAUAAGUAAUGUGAAUUGCAGAAUUCAGUGAAUCAUCGAAUCUUUGAACGCACAUUGCGCCCCCUGGUAUCCCGGGGGGCAUGCCUGUCCGAGCGUCAUUACAACCCUCAAGCUCAGCUUGGUAUUGGGCCCCGCCGACCCGGCGGGCCCUAAAGUCAGUGGCGGUGCCGUCCGGCUCCGAGCGUAGUAAUUCUUCUCGCUCUGGAGGUCCGGUCGUGUGCUCGCCAGCAACCCCCAAUUUUUUUCAGGUUGACCUCGGAUCAGGUAGGGAUACCCGCUGAACUUAAGCAUAUCAAUAAGCGGAGGA